rnacentral:rRNA from 1 species
CCGUUGCCGGCGACCGGCGCACGGGUGAGUAACACGUAUGCAACCUGCCCGUGGCAGGGGGAUAAGCGGGGGAAACCCCGUCUAAUACCGCGUAACGCGGCCUAGGGACAUCCCAAGGCCGCCAAAGGGAGCAAUCCCGGCCACGGAUGGGCAUGCGGCGCAUUAGUUAGUUGGCGGUGUAACGGCCCACCAAGCCGACGAUGCGUAGGGGUUCUGAGAGGAAGGUCCCCCACAUUGGAACUGAGACACGGUCCAAACUCCUACGGAAGGCAGCAG